CUUAAAUGAAUUGACGGGGCCCGCACAAGCGGUGAGCAUGUGGUUUAAUUCGAUGCAACGCGAAGAACCUUACCUGGGUUUGACAUAGCAGUGGUAGGGAAGCGAAAGCGGACCGACCUUCGGGGAGCUGUUACAGGUGUUGCAUGGCUGUCGUCAGCUCGUGUCGUGAGAUGUUCGGUUAAGUCCGCUAACGAGCGCAACCCGCGUUGUGUGUUACAAGUGUCACACAAUACCGCCGGUAUUAAGUCGGAGGAAGGUGCGGAUGACGUCAAGUCAGCAUGACCUUUAUAUCCAGGGCUACACACACGCUACAAUGGUCAGCACAAUAGGUUGCCAAGUCGUGAGACGGAGCCAAUCCUCCAAAGCUGGCCUCAGUUCAGAUUGUAGGCUGCAACCCGCCUGCAUGAAGUUGGAGUUGCUAGUAACCGCAGGUCAGCUGUACUGCGGUGAAUACGUUCCCGGGGAUU
rnacentral:rRNA from 1 species